AGCAGUGUGCGUUUUGUUGACAUCCGCUAAAUUUGGAUUUUAAGCAUUUAUAAUACAUUUUUUUGUGUAUAUUUCAUUUUUUCAACACUUUAUUCAACAAGUGAAUGAUAAAAAAAUAAUCUCUGAGCUGUUAAUUGGCAAUUUUUUUACGCUAGACAAUGUCAAAGCGAAAUGUUGCCAGCAACAUUCAUAGACCACCUCAGCGAUAUGUUGCCGAGCAACAAUGUUGCGCGCAACAAGAUUAGACCGCUGCCUUAGCAGGCAGAUACACCAUCUUCCUGUAUUCACCUUGUGCAACAUCGAGUGAAUUGACACUGCCUGUAAACACAAUCGUUCCAAAACGAUCACAAAGGUGGCCUGGCGGCAUUCGGGAACGCAUGCUAUUGUUCGUAUCAUAUUCGCAGUAACUUUCGUGGUGAACGUGUCGCAAAUUAAAGCGAAAUUAACCCCACAGCGUUUCGCAACGGAAGUGAUCAGACACUUGGAAGCAUAUUGAAAAACGGAGACAACGCGGAACAAUAUUCCAGAUUUUUACCAACGUAAAAUUCGGCAUUGGGUGUUUCGUGUUGAUGAUGCAGAACGAGUCUACUGCGGCCAUGACCUCGGAUGCGGGAGGCCAAACGAGUCAAGCCAAACGAGGCUUGGCGAGCAAGGGAAAGAUAGCAGCGCAUUACCCCUACCAAAUGAGGAUUGAACCGCGGGCAGAAGGGUUCCUUGCUGAUAUUGUGUUCUGUUGUAUAUGUCAGCCGGCCCUCUACAUCCGUCCCUUUGUGACGGAAUUUUCGCAGCAGGUGGAUUGGUUGCACCAGAAUGUGCAGGCCGUGGCAGCGUCCCAGAUGCAGGCAGCAGGCGAGCAGGAGCAGGCGGUUAUGUUCGUGGCGGGUGCACCAUGCCUUGCUCGGUACAGUGAGGAUGGGUCAUACUACCGGGCAAUCAUAGAGAAGGUGGACGAUGUGCAAGAUGCCGUCCAUGUCCUGUUCGUGGAUUAUCUCAGUAAGGAAAUUUUGCCGAAGAGGGAUAUCUGCGAGUGCCCGCUAGAAUUGCGUUUGAUACCGCUGAGUUAUGCAUGUGUGCGGCUGGCGGGCGUUCAGCCAAACGCCACACGACCCAUUGCAGAGGUUUACGGACGGCUGCAGGAGCUUCUUGAAGCAGCAUCAUUUUACGUGCGAGUCAUCCAGCGCCCUGACGUGAAGGAGAGUACGAGUAUGCCAGAGGUAGAGCUCUUCACGGCGAAGGACUGCCAAACGCUCGCUUAUCAGACUUUAAUAGAUGAACAAUAUUUGGUUGCUGAUACCAACCAGUAAAUCAUUUGCGACACCCAUGGACAACCAAGUCCAUGGCUCUUCGCUAACUUUUAUUACUUUUUUAUGAUUUGAUCACUACAAAUUUCGAUCGUUCAUGCUACACAGUUACGCCGCUGUAGGCAGUUCGAUUAGUAAUUCAUCACUCAUAUCUAAUGUUUUUUUUCAAGCUAGACCGUUCCUUCGCUUUGAAUUCAAUCUGAUGGCAGUUAGGUUUUUCAUUCUUUACUUACACAUUAUUCGGUUUACUUUCUCAGUUUUUGUUUUUAUAACAUUUAACUACCCAGAUGAUAUAGAAGUAAAAGAAUUAGAU